rnacentral:misc_RNA from 1 species
AAAGAUUUAGCAUAUUCUUCUGAAUAUACUUCAUUAACCCAUUCCGAGUACCUUACCCGUUGCUUCCGCGAGGCUGUCCUCACGGCCCUUUGAAGAUUUAUCUUUGGAGAGUCCUUGCGGGAGGUAUACAAUAAACUCUUGCAUUACCAUGUCAUCUGUCUGAAUCUGUUUAAAACAAAUAUUA